GUGCUUUGCAUACAUACACAUAUAGAUCACAGGUGUUACUGAAACAGAGUAAAUCCAGCAGCUCUGUGUUUGAUCCUCCAUCAGCUCAGCUCUUCACUGUAAUCCAGAUCUCCUAACAUGAUGCUCUGCUCCGGACUCAGCAGCACACUGUUGCUGGCAGCAACGUGUUCACUCAUCACUUCAGGUAAAUGCUGUUUUACUGCUUCUCACAUUUUGGUCACAAAGAGCCUUUCUCUUGACUUUAUACCUCCAUCAUGCGAAUCAUUGAACCUGAGCUCUUCUUCUGCGUGUCUAACUACUGAACAACUAUCACACAUCACAAGUUUUUAUUUCUCUGCCAUCAGAGAUGUUUUUAUGAAGGAAAAACAAUUUUUCCAGGCUGAUGAUCUUCUAGUGAGAAGCCAUGUCCUCUCCAGCUUGCGAGUUAUCUGCUUUAAGAUGGAUGUUUGGGAGCGACAGGAAGAAGUCAAGUACUUCUGAAAAACAUGUCUUUAUCCUGUCUUCCUUCUCUCACCCCAACCAAUCACAGCAGAUGGCCCCGCCCCUCCCUGAGCCUGGUUCUGCCGGAGGUUUCUUCCUGUUAAAAGGGAGUUUUUCCUUCCCACUGCCGCCAAAGUGCUUGCUCAUAGGGGGUCAUAUGAUUGUUGGGUUUUUCUCUGUAUGUAUUAUUGUGCGAUCUACUGUACAAUAUAAAGCGCCUUGAGGCGACUUUUGUUGUGAUUUGGCGCUAUAUAAAUAAAAUUGAAUUGAAUUGAACUGAAUUGAAUAAAACGCUG
ensembl:lncRNA